AUUGAACGCUGGCGGCAUGCUUUACACAUGCAAGUCGAACGGUAACAGGGAGCUUGCUCCGCUGACGAGUGGCGAACGGGUGAGUAAUGCGUCGGAACGUGCCGAGUAGUGGGGGAUAACGCAUCGAAAGGUGUGCUAAUACCGCAUACGUACUGAGGUAGAAAGUGGGGGACCUUCGGGCCUCACGCUAUUCGAGCGGCCGACGUCUGAUUAGCUAGUUGAUGAGGUAAAGGCUCACCAAGGCGACGAUCAGUAGCGGGUCUGAGAGGAUGAUCCGCCACACUGGGACUGAGACACGGCCCAGACUCCUACGGGAGGCAGCAGUGGGGAAUUUUGGACAAUGGGAGCAAGCCUGAUCCAGCCAUGCCGCGUGUCUGAAGAAGGCCUUCGGGUUGUAAAGGACUUUUGUCCGGGAGCAAAUGCUGGUGGCUAACAUCCACCGGAGCUGAGAGUACCGGAAGAAUAAGCACCGGCUAACUACGUGCCAGCCGCCGCCGUAAGAC
rnacentral:rRNA from 1 species